ensembl:snRNA U6 U6 spliceosomal RNA
GUGCUCACUUCAGUAGCAUGCGUACUAAAAUUGGAAGGAUACAGAGAAGAUUAGCAUGUCCCCUGUGCAAGGAUGACACGCAAAUUCAUGAAGCGUUCAGAUGUUUU